rnacentral:rRNA from 2 species
UACGUAGGUCCCGAGCGUUGUCCGGAUUUAUUGGGCGUAAAGCGAGCGCAGGCGGUUAGAUAAGUCUGAAGUGAAAGGCAGUGGCUCAACCAUUGUAGGCUUUGGAAACUGUUUAACUUGAGUGCAGAAGGGGAGAGUGGAAUUCCAUGUGUAGCGGUGAAAUGCGUAGAUAUAUGGAGGAACACCGGUGGCGAAAGCGGCUCUCUGGUCUGUAACUGACGCUGAGGCUCGAAAGCGUGGGGAGCGAACAGG